rnacentral:rRNA from 1 species
AGUGAACGCUGGCGGUAGGCCUAACACAUGCAAGUCGAACGGCAGCACAGGAGAGCUUGCUCUCUGGGUGGCGAGUGGCGGACGGGUGAGGAAUACAUCGGAAUCUACUUUUUCGUGGGGGAUAACGUAGGGAAACUUACGCUAAUACCGCAUACGACCUACGGGUGAAAGCAGGGGACCUUCGGGCCUUGCGCGAUUGAAUGAGCCGAUGUCGGAUUAGCUAGUUGGCGGGGUAAAGGCCCACCAAGGCGACGAUCCGUAGCUGGUCUGAGAGGAUGAUCAGCCACACUGAAACUGAGACACGGUCCAGACGCCUACGGGAGGCAGAAGAGGGGAAUAUUGGACAAUGGGCGCAAGCCUGAUCCAGCCAUACCGCGUGGGUGAAGAAGGCCUUCGGGGUGUAAAGCCCUUUUGUUGGGAAAGAAAUCCAGCUGGCUAAUACCCGGUUGGGAUGACGGUACCCAAAGAAUAAGCACCGGCUAACUUCGUGCCAGCCGCCGCCGUAA